rnacentral:rRNA from 1 species
AGUGAACGCUGGCGGUAGGCCUAACACAUGCAAGUCGAACGGCAGCACAGGAGAGCUUGCUCUCUGGGUGGCGAGUGGCGGACGGGUGAGGAAUACAUCGGAAUCUACUCUGUCGUGGGGGAUAACGUAGGGAAACUUACGCUAAUACCGCAUACGACCUACGGGUGAAAGCAGGGGACCUUCGGGCCUUGCGCGAUUGAAUGAGCCGCUGUCGGAUUAGCUAGUUGGCGGGGUAAAGGCCCACCAAGGCGACGAUCCGUAGCUGGUCUGAGAGGAUGAUCAGCCACACUGGAACUGAGACACGGUCCAGACUCCUACGGGAGGCAGCAGUGAGGAAUAUUGGACAAUGGGCGCAAGCCUGAUCCAGCCAUACCGCGUGGGUGAAGAAGGCCUUCGGGUUGUAAAGCCCUUUUGUUGGGAAAGAAAUCCAGCUGGCUAAUACCCGGUUGGGAUGACGGUACCCAAAGAAUAAGCACCGGCUAACUUCGUGCCAGCCGCCGCAGUAA